rnacentral:rRNA from 1 species
AGUCGUACGCACUGGCCCAAUUGAUUGAUGGUGCUUGCACCUGAUUGACGAUGGAUCACCAGUGAGUGGCGGACGGGUGAGUAACACGUAGGUAACCUGCCCCGGAGCGGGGGAUAACAUUUGGAAACAGAUGAUAAUACCGCAUAACAACAAAAGUCACAUGGCUUUUGUUUGAAAGAUGGCUUUGGCUAUCACUCUGGGAUGGACCUGCGGUGCAUUAGCUAGUUGGUAAGGUAACGGCUUACCAAGGCGAUGAUGCAUAGCCGAGUUGAGAGACUGAUCGGCCACAAUGGAACUGAGACACGGUCCAUACUCCUACGGGAGGCAGCAGUAGGGAAUCUUCCACAAUGGGCGCAAGCCUGAUGGAGCAACACCGCGUGAGUGAAGAAGGGUUUCGGCUCGUAAAGCUCUGUUGUUGGAGAAGAACGUGCGUGAGAGUAACUGUUCACGCAGUGACGGUAUCCAACCAGAAAGUCACGGCUAACUACGUGCCAGCAGCCGCGGUAAUACGUAGGUGGCAAGCGUUAUCCGGAUUUAUUGGGCGUAAAGGGAACGCAGGCGGUCUUUUAAGUCUGAUGUGAAAGCCUUCGGCUUAACCGGAGUAGUGCAUUGGAAACUGGGAGACUUGAGUGCAGAAGAGGAGAGUGGAACUCCAUGUGUAGCGGUGAAAUGCGUAGAUAUAUGGAAGAACACCAGUGGCGAAAGCGGCUCUCUGGUCUG